AAAAAGGGGGUUUUUCCUUUGGGGAACACCGUGAAUUGAAUGCUAUGCUUGGCCUCUGGGUUCCGGUGGAGUAUGGCAAUCAAGACAUAUUCAGCCCGUAAUUUUUGGAACUGAGAGCUGUCUGACGCCUCUUUAGAGGUGUCAAGGCGUUCUC
rfam:Folsomia candida strain VT population Fcan01_Sc003, whole genome shotgun sequence.